rnacentral:lncRNA from 10 species
GUCGGGGCGCCUGCGCAGUCGCUCUUCCUCAGGCGGCGGCCAUGGCGGGACAGGAGGAUCCGGUGCAGCGGGAGAUUCACCAGGACUGGGCUAACCGGGAGUACAUUGAGAUAAUCACCAGCAGCAUCAAGAAAAUCGCAGACUUUCUCAACUCGUUCGCCUACUCAGCAGGAAGACAAUGAGGAUGAAGACCUUUAUGAUGAUCCACUGCCAUUUAAUGAAUAAUAUGUCUUGUCGUUCAAGACUUGCAACACUAAACGAGAAAUUGACAGCCCUUGAACGGAGAAUAGAGUACAUUGAAGCUCGGGUGACAAAAGGUGAGACACUCACCUAGAACAGUGCCGUGCUGCUGCUGGGAAGUUGCUUUACACAACACAGGCCACAUGGGAAAGGCCCCAGCAGCCUUCAGCUCCUUCCUUUCUCCUUAAAGAGCAACAGGGCUUAUUCUUGUUUUUCUUUUUUCAAAAGUGUGGCCUUUGGGCUCUGCCAUCUGGGGUGUGGUGUGGUAUGUGGGAAGAAGUUCAGAGGAACCGUUGGAAACGACGUUAGGCAUUUUACCUUUUCAGUAACAUUUUAUACAUCUACUUGUCAAUGUAUUUGAGACAUUCACAGCCAAAAGCCUGGGACUCUUUGUGAAGGUCCUCCUCACCUCUAUCUUUCUUUCUCUCUCUCUCAAACUUUCCUUAAAGUUCUCAUUGCCUUUGCACUGCUUCUGUGAACAGUCUUUGUCUCCUCCCCACCUUUGGUGGGAAGUGCGGGGCAGUCCUGGUCAAGACACUCAUGCCCUGGCAAUGUGGCUGCCAGAGAAUGUUGUUGCUAACCCACCAGUUUCUUGUUGAUUUGGAGAGGUCAAGGCCAGGCCCCCACUUGGCUUGAAGGGACAUUUUCAGACUUUUCUUUCUGUCACUUGGAGUGUCUAUGCCUCUCAUAUUUCCCUAAUAAACUCCUCAACUUUUUAUCUGACUGCUGUGAUUAUGGUGGGGAGAGGAGCUAGAGAUGGGUUCACUUAUUGCACAGAAAUGUAAUACAUGGCGUUAUUAUUCUAACAUAAAACUUUCAGAUGUAGCUGUUUGAUUCAAAGCCUAGGUGGCUUACCAGCCCAAGUCCCCAUGUUUGGACUUUCAGCUGACUAGCUCAUCUUGGGAAUCAUUUGGUCAUUCAGCACAUUUACCAAGUAUUUACUAUGUAGGCAUGUUAAACUCCAAUAAAACAUACAGCAUUGAAUCAGA